CCUAUACUCUACUUUUCAGUCCGCACUGACAAGCCAAGGGUUCUCCCCCACACUAGUGGGUUGUCGUAUGGGACAUACGGGGAAGAAUAUUGGGUCACAGUUUUCAUAUGAUGUUACGGUACCCUCAGCAUAAAAAAAAACGCCGUUUAGUGAAUCCUCCCCUUUCGCAAUAACACAAGCUUCAUGCGUAUCAAGUACAAUCAUACGAACCGCAAGCAGGGGAACGCUGUAAUCUCA